UUUCUUAGCAGAUUAAUGCCUUAGAUUUAGAAUCUAAAUACCUCAU
rnacentral:tRNA from 1 species